UACGUAGGGUGCAAGCGUUGUCCGGAAUUAUUGGGCGUAAAGAGCUCGUAGGCGGUUCGUCGCGUCGGCUGUGAAAACCCGGAGCUCAACUCCGGGCCUGCAGUCGAUACGGGCGGACUUGAGUUCGGCAGGGGAGACUGGAAUUCCUGGUGUAGCGGUGAAAUGCGCAGAUAUCAGGAGGAACACCGGUGGCGAAGGCGGGUCUCUGGGCCGUAACUGACGCUGAGGAGCGAAAGCGUGGGGAGCGAACAGG
rnacentral:rRNA from 1 species